rnacentral:rRNA from 1 species
UACGUAGGGUGCGAGCGUUAAUCGGAAUUACUGGGCGUAAAGCGUGCGCAGGCGGCGCGUUAAGACAGGUGUGAAAGCCCCCGAGCUUAACUUGGGAAUUGCGCUUGUGACUGGCGUGCUGGAGUGUGGCAGAGGGAGGUGGAAUUCCACGUGUAGCAGUGAAAUGCGUAGAGAUGUGGAGGAACACCGAUGGCGAAGGCAGCCUCCUGGGCCAGCCACUGACGCUCAUGCACGAAGCGUGGGAGCAACA